rnacentral:rRNA from 1 species
UACGUAGGGGGCAAGCGUUGUCCGGAAUCAUUGGGCGUAAAGCGCGCGUAGGCGGCCCGGUAAGUCCGUUGUGAAAGUCAAAGGCUCAACCUUUGAAUGCCGAUGGAUACUGCCGGGCUAGAGUCCGGAAGAGGCGAGUGGAAUUCCUGGUGUAGCGGUGGAAUGCGCAGAUAUCAGGAGGAACACCAAUAGCGAGGGCAGCUCGCUGGGACGGUACUGACGCUGAGGCGCGAAAGCGUGGGGAGCGAACAGG